rnacentral:rRNA from 1 species
GGAAUUUUCCGCAAUGGGCGAAAGCCUGACGGAGCAAUACCGCGUGAGGGAUGACGGCCUGUGGGUUGUAAACCUCUUUUCUCAAGGAAGAAGUUCUGACGGUACUUGAGGAAUAAGCAUCGGCUAACUCUGUGCCAGCAGCCGCGGUAAUACAGAGGAUGCAAGCGUUAUCCGGAAUCACUGGGCAUAAAGCGUCUGUAGGUGGUUUGGUAAGUCUGCUGUUAAAGACUGGGGCUCAACCCCAGAAAAGCAGUGGAAACUGCCAGACUUGAGUGUGGUAGAGGUAGAGGGAAUUCCUAGUGUAUCGGUGAAAUGCGUAGAUAUUAUGAAGAACACCAAUGGCGAAGGCACUCUACUGGGCCAUAACUGACACUGAGAGACGACAGCUAGGGUAGCAAAUGGGAUUAGAUACCCCAGUAGUC